rnacentral:lncRNA from 1 species
CUGAAGAAGCAUCUGUAGGGAAUCCAGAAGGAGCAUUCAUGAAGAUGUUACAAGCCCGGAAGCAGCACAUGAGCACUGAGCUGACUAUUGAGUCGGAGGCGCCCUCAGACAGCAGUGGCAUCAACUUGUCAGGCUUUGGGAGUGAGCAGCUAGACACCAAUGACGAGAGUGAUGUUAGCAGCGCACUAAGUUACAUCUUGCCUUAUCUCUCACUGAGAAAUCUAGGUGCAGAAUCAAUAUUGUUACCGUUCACUGAACAGCUAUUUUCAAAUGUACAAGAUGGAGAUAGGCUCCUGAGUAUUUUGAAAAACAAUAGAAAGAGCCCCUCACAGUCCAGCCUUCUAGGUGAUCAGCUUGAAAUUCAGCUAACCGAGCAGCUACGGUCCCUCAUCCCCAACGAGGAUGUGAGAAAGUUCAUGUCUCAUGUUAUCUGGACCUUGAAAAUGGAAUGUUCAGAAACACAUGUGCAAGGGAGCUGUGCCAAGCUCAUGUCGCGAACAGGCCUCCUGAUGAAGCUUCUCAGCGAGCAGCAGGAAGCAAAGGCAUUGAAUGUAGAAUGGGAUACGGACCAACAAAAAACAAAUUAUAUUAAUGAGAACAUGGAACAGAAUGAACAGAAAGAGCAGAAGUCAAGUGAGCUCAUGAAAGAAGUUCCAGGAUAUGACUAUAAGAACAAACUCAUCUUCGCAAUAUCUGUGACUGUCAUACUAAUAAUUUUGAUUAUAAUUUUUUGUUUUAUAGAGGUAAAGACAAUAAUUAAUUCAGGUUUUCAAAAUACAAUCCUGUGUUUGUGUGGAUUCAGAAUCCACAAACUG